UUUAUAUACAAGUAUAUAAACAUUUUACAGAGUAUCCCAUUUUUCACAAAAAUGUAUCUUCACUAAUUCUUAUUUUCCAAGAAUUAUGGAAAUUCGAUGUGAGUUCUUGUAAAUUAUAAAAAUGUUUUAUAUGAUUCCUCAGUAAUAACUAUUUGUGUAGAUUUUGAAAGUACAAAUAAGAAAAAUAUUUAUGAGGAAUGCAUUUUGAAACAGGAAAUACACAAGAAUGAAGAGAACAAUCACUCGUGAAUGUCCACCUAUCAUCAUUCCUUUACAGUUCCGAAAUCUUCCUAAGGAAUAAAACCUGCCAGGAGAAACUUUCUUUCUUCUAACGGUGUGCACUUACUCGUAGUCGGAAGCCAGACUCAGCUGGCUUCCCUAGAGAGGAAGCUCAAAAGCGCUUCGGUGUAUCUCACCAGCUUCCAUUCCCAUUCUUGUGAAAUGCAUCAGAGUAAGGUUCAGAAAGAAUGAAGAACUCCCCGCUCCCCUGCUCUUUCAAUCCUUCUUUGUACUUUUAAUUUUAAAAAGCAUAAAAAUAGAGAAGCUGGAAGAAAUUCUAUGAACUUUCUUAUUUUCUUCACCCAUAUUCGCCAAUUCUUAGCCUUGCCAUAUUAACUGUGU
rnacentral:lncRNA from 1 species